rnacentral:rRNA from 1 species
UUGGAGGGCAAGUCUGGUGCCAGCAGCCGCGGUAAUUCCAGCUCCAAUAGCGUAUAUUAAAGUUGUUGCAGUUAAAAAGCUCGUAGUUGAAUUUCGGGAUUAGUACGUCGGUCGUGCCUUCGGUACGUACUGGUGUUACUGAUUCCUACCUUCUGACGAACCAUCAUGUCAUUAAUUUGGUGUGGCGGGGAAUCAGGACUGUUACUUUGAAAAAAUUAGAGUGUUUAAAGCAGGCUCGCGCUUGAAUACAUUAGCAUGGAAUAAUGAAAUAGGACGUUGACCCUAUUUUGUUGGUUUCUAGGAUUGACGUAAUGAUUAAUAGGGAUAGUUGGGGGCAUUAGUAUUCAAUUGUCAGAGGUGAAAUUCUUGGAUUUAUUGAAGACUAACUACUGCGAAAGCAUUUGCCAAGGAUGUUUUCAUUAAUCAAGAACGAAAGUUAGGGGAUCGAAGACGAUCAGAUACCGUCGUAGUCUUAACCAUAAACUAUGCCGACUAGGGAUCGGAUGAUGUUAUUUUUAAUGACUCAUUCGUCGCCUUACGGGAAAC